GAUGAAGAACGCAGUGAAAUGCGAUAAGUAGUGUGAAUUGCAGAAUUCAGUGAAUCAUCGAAUCUUUGAACGCACAUUGCGCCACUUGGUACUCCAUGGGGCAUGCCUGUUCGAGCGUCAUUUACACCCUCAAGCUCAGCUUGGUGUUGGGCGUCUGUCCCGCUUCGUGCGCGGACUCGCCUCAAAUGCAUUGGCAGCGGUCUUGCCAGCUUCUCGCGCAGCACAUUGCGCUUCUAGAGGCUUUGGCGGAUCGGCGUCCAUCAAGUACACCCACAGUUUGACCUCGGAUCAGGUAGGGAUACCCGCUGAACUUAAGCAUAUCAAUAAGCGGAGGA
rnacentral:misc_RNA from 1 species